UUCCGGUUGAUCCCGCCGGAAGUCACUGCUAUCGGUGUUCGACUAAGCCAUGCGAGUCAAAUGUUCUUCGUGAACAUGGCGUACUGCUCAGUAACACGUGGAUAACCUGCCCUUAGGUCUGGCAUAACCCCGGGAAACUGGGGAUUAUUCCGGAUAGAUCAUCGAUGCUGGAAUGCGCUUUGAUCCAAAGCUAUUGUGCCUAAGGAUGGGUCUGCGGUCUAUCAGGUUGUAGUGGGUGAAAUGUACCUACUAGCCUACGACGGAUACGGGUUGUGGGAGCAAGAGCCCGGAGAUGGAUUCUGAGACAUGAAUCCAGGCCCUACGGGGCGCAGCAGGCGCGAAAACUUUACAAUGCGGGGAACCGCGAUAAGGGGACACCGAGUGCCAGCAUCCUAUGUUGGCUGCCCAUAUGUCUAAAUCACAUGUGUUAGCAAGGGCCGGGCAAGACCGGUGCCAGCCGCCGCGGUAACACCGGCGGCCCGAGUGGUGGCCACUAUUAUUGGGUCUAAAGGGGUCCGUAGCCGGUUUUGGUCAGUCUUCCGGGAAAUC
rnacentral:rRNA from 1 species